UGAUCUCGUCGUCUAAGUGGCAAGACGCCGGAUUGUCGAUCCGGCGAUGCGGGUUCAAGUCCCGUCGAGAUCGU
rnacentral:tRNA from 1 species